AUUUGAAUGUCUCCCCAGGCUAUGGCCUCGAAAGCCUUGCCUGGACAGCCAUCCAUGAUUGCUCAAUCAUGCAUCUGCCAUCUGCCCCUGAGCAGGCUGGGAGUGCUGUGGCCCCCAUCCAUCCUCGACAGAACAGCCUUGUAGGGUCUAUGUCUCACUGCUUCCUUGGAGAAGGACUUCUCCUUAGACUAAGAGUGAGCAAUUCAAAGCCACAUGGCCUCAUCUGACCCAUCCUUGGCUGUCAAAGGUACUGUACACUAUGUUUUAUUCAUUCCAAAUCACUGAGGUAUGCCUAGAUUCAAGAGCAGGGAGAGGUUGAUCCUGUCAAUGGUAAGAGUGUAAAAGAAUCACUGACAUAUUUUUAAACUAUUAUUUUCAGCCUUGUCUUUCUUUUCCUUUCUCGGUAGUCCUUUCGAGGGGUGUAUCCCCUACUCUUCACUGAAUUGGUAGGGCAUUCCAUGACCCAUCUAAAAGAAGCAUGUCACGGAAAUACUAACUGAAGCUUCAAGCAGUUGGUGCGUAAGCUCCGAGGCAGCACACACAUCCUCCCUACUCCAAGGGAAGAGCAAUGUAAAGUUCUGACAAAGGGUGAAUUUAAUUCUGCUCUACUGCUGCUGGGCUCUAGGAACCUGCUCACCAGAUCAGGACAGCCUUCAUAAGGCUUGUGCCGGCAUUUAUUAUGUAGGUUGAGAAAGAGCCGCAUGGAGGCAGAAACAAAGCAAGAUCUUGGAGCAGCACACGGAGGUGUUUUCUGUAACAGGUGCUCGGUGUGCGUUCUCUGAACAAACGGACGUUUGAGCUAGAGAAUAAAUACAAAGUGUCUUGAGGAAAAAGUAUGACUUUGCCUUACUUUACCAAAUAAACACCCAGCAAGGUAGUUGAUGCCAAGAUGAGAAAGCAUCUCUUCCCGGGCUUGCUAUGUGUGUCCAGCUCUCAAAAGAAACAAAAUGUUUUCCAUAGUUUUAAGGUGACAUCAAAUCCACAGCACAGCACUGGUUCCUUACGACCUAGGGUCUUACCAAAGACUCUUGGCUUUUGUCCAGAACUUUUUUCUUCCCAACAAGCUGGUUUCCUAGUGCUUCCACAGCUCUGGAAAUCCCGUGGGACACUCACAGCUGCUACAGUUUCAAAAGAAGUUGAAGAAGUAACCCCACCUUUCCACAAAGAAGGCUUUCAAACAGCACUCUCGUCACGGCAAACUGUGAAAACUCUUCUCUGUUUCAGAGCUGAAUGGCCCCUGAGCAGCCUAGAUCAUGUCCUAAAAUCUUGUGACCCAGAAAGGUCCUGAGAGCAAACAAUGAUAAUGAAACUGGAUGAAUAUUAAGCAUUUUCUAACCAAUAGUGAGAAUUUUUCUUGUAUUUUCUUACUUUAUCUAACAAGAAGACCACAAUUUUGAUAAUACUUUUCUUCCUAUUAUUACCAUUUUGCAGAAGAAGAUAAGAUGUUGCAGAUCCAAUGAUUUGCCCAGGGACACAGAGCCUGUAAAUGACAAAGUUGGAAUUCAAGCCACCAUCUAGUGGGAAAGCAUCCCUAAGCUUCCUUUUUCCAAGUCCGUUUUAUUGUUUACUAUUCUGAAUUUAAAGAGAAGUUGAAACAGCAUCCCAGUGAUGAUGUUUACUUACUUAACACCUGAUCAUGGGUAUGAUGUAUGCGGUUUUCCUCCUCCUCCUGUCUCACUACAUACCUGAUCUGUGUUUCAAAGUGUAAAUAAUGAAGAGGGAAUAAGAGUGAAAUGUACCACACAACACACACACACACACACACACACACACACACACACACACACACACACUUAUACCUCACAUAUGUAUAGCCUGUCUACCACACAACAUUCAAUACAUAUAUAUGAGAUAUAUUAUACAUACAUGUAAUAUAUAAUGCAUACCAUCCAUGCCAUGUGCAAACACAGCCUACAUACAACACACACACACACACAUAUAUAUAUCCAUACAACUUACAUACAUACAAUGUACAUACUCUUGUUAACCUAUGUAAAAAUAAAUUGUAGACUUUAUGACAUGUUACCACUAAACCAUUUAGCACACACUUUCUAAUAAUAAAGAUAGUCUCCAUCAAAUCAUAGUAUCAUUGUCUAACAAAAUUAAAAUAAUUUUCAUGAAGCCACCUAACACAUAGGCCAUAUAAAAUAUGAAUAUUUUUCCAUAGUAGUUAAACAGAUUUAACAGAUAGAGAGAGAUCUACACAGGAGAUUGGUGGCUGCUUUCAGUCAGAUCAUAAUAAUACAACUAAAACUGAGUGUCUCUACAUGGGUUCUGAGACGUAAAUACAGAGUUCUUUAAGGGGGCCGCUCUACUGGAUGUACCUAUUCUGAACAUUGGAAUUUUCACUCUAAACACUUAUGUAUGGUUUGCUUGCCCCAGACGCUCAUUUAUAAUAGUUCCUGGAGAGCUGUUCACCCUGAGAUUUUAUGAAGCUAACAGUAACAGAAAGAAUAAACAGUUUGUGACUCACUCUGGCUGUGUGCUCCAAACGUCAAACA